AGUGAACGCUGGCGGUAGGCCUAACACAUGCAAGUCGAACGGCAGCACAGAGGAGCUUGCUCCUUGGGUGGCGAGUGGCGGACGGGUGAGGAAUACAUCGGAAUCUACUCUGUCGUGGGGGAUAACGUAGGGAAACUUACGCUAAUACCGCAUACGACCUACGGGUGAAAGCAGGGGAUCUUCGGGCCUUGCGCGAUUGAAUGAGCCGAUGUCGGAUUAGCUAGUCGGCGGGGUAAAGGCCCACCAAGGCGACGAUCCGUAGCUGGUCUGAGAGGAUGAUCAGCCACACUGGAACUGAGGCACGGUCCAGACUCCUACGGGAGGCAGCAGUGGGGAAUAUUGGACAAUGGGCGCAAGCCUGAUCCAGCCAUACCGCGUGGGUGAAGAAGGCCUUCGGGUUGUAAAGCCCUUUUGUUGGGAAAGAAAUCCAGCUGGCUAAUACCCGGUUGGGAUGACGGUACCCAAAGAAUAAGCACCGGCUAACUUCGUGCCAGCAGCCGCAGUAA
rnacentral:rRNA from 1 species